UACAGAGGGCUCAAGCGUUGUUCGGAUUCAUUGGGCGUAAAGGGUGCGUAGGUGGCGCCAUAAGUCGGGUGUGAAAUCUCGGGGCUUAACUCCGAAACUGCAUUCGAUACUGUGGUGCUCGAGGACUGGAGAGGAGACUGGAAUUCAUGGUGUAGCAGUGAAAUGCGUAGAGAUCAUGAGGAAGACCAGUGGCGAAGGCGGGUCUCUGGGCCGAUACUGACGCUGAGGAGCGAAAGCGUGGGGAGCGAACAGG
rnacentral:rRNA from 1 species